AGCAGCCGCGGUAAUUCCAGCUCCAAUAGCGUAUAUUAAAGUUGUUGCAGUUAAAAAGCUCGUAGUUGAAUUUCGGGAUCAAUAUGUUGGUCGUGCCUUGGUACGUACUGGCAUUAUCGAUUCCUACCUUCUGAAGAACCUCGAUGUCAUUAAUUUGGUGUCUUGGGGAAUCAGGACUGUUACUUUGAAAAAAUUAGAGUGUUUAAAGCAGGCUCGCGCUUGAAUACAUUAGCAUGGAAUAAUGAAAUAGGACGUUUGAUUCUAUUUUGUUGGUUUCUAGGAUCGACGUAAUGAUUAAUAGGGAUAGUUGGGGGCAUUAGUAUUCAAUUGUCAGAGGUGAAAUUCUUGGAUUUAUUGAAGACUAACUACUGCGAAAGCAUUUGCCAAGGAUGUUUUCAUUAAUCAAGAACGAAAGUUAGGGGAUCGAAGACGAUCAGAUACCGUCGUAGUCUU
rnacentral:rRNA from 1 species